UUCUCUUUCUUGUUGCAGUACUUCUGAUCUACGUAACUAAUAUAAGAACCCGAGGUGUCUGAACAAGCGAAACUCGCAUUUUUCUUAUACACAGGCUGGUGUUUCUAUCUCUUUUGAUGAUACAUUGCUGCAAGCAAGGAAAUUGAACCGAAAAUUCCCCAAAAAGGCUGAGGCAGUUCCAUUUAGGCAAAUCUUUUCUUGCUUUGGUUUCUUUCAUUUCUUUUGUGAUGAAUCUCAUUUUGCCAGGCUUACAACUCUGUUUGCUGUAAUAAAACUUUGAAUGAUAGGAAGAAAAAGGAGAAGGAAAAAGUGAAAUUGGGAACAGUCCAAGCAAAGCUGACAGCAUAAAUGGAACUCUGGAACUUAGAGCAAAAUCCUGGAGAUCUUAAGCUGUAGAUAUGGCUUACCAGAAAGAGGAAAAGAAAAGUGAUUUGGGUCAUAUUCAGUUUAUGAUUUGCAUUUACGUUCCAUGUGGUUCAUUUCUGCUGUAAACUUUGAUUGCACUGCUCCGAACCGAUUCACUUUUUUCUUAUCCUUUUUCUUCUAAUCAUUAAAUAUCUUUGAUACUGCAUACACAAAGGAAGAUCUUCAGUUUAAGGUAUUCUCUCUUGAACUUUCGGUUCACUUUCCGUUCCCUGCAAACAUCAGAAUCAAACCAUCAGUUUUGAAGUGAAGAUCAUCUUUUGAAACAGGGUAAGAGGAUUUAAAGGAUUUAUGUAUAGGUUAUUUUCUUAAGUUUUGUCAACUACUUUUUUAGUUUCUUUUUUUUUUUUUUGGGGGGGGGGGGGGGUGGGGGGGGGGGUGGGGUUUGGCAUGCCUAUGAUUUGUGACAAGUGGUGGUAUUUGGCUGGGAAAGAGUUCCUCUGUUUAAAAAGCAGAACAAAUGAUAAUUUUGGAACAUGUUAAUAUGUCAAUUUUUUGGAACAUUGCAUUUGGGACAAUGGAUUUUACUUUUGAUUUGUUAUAUAAAUUGUAAGCAUAACAUAUUAUAUAUAAAUUAUUUAUAUGUUUAUAAUGAUUAAAAUUGUGACUAUGUUUUUCAAACUCAUUGGUAUUACAAAUGUCAUAUAGUAAUCUGACUGUAAAUUUCAAAUUUGUAAUUUAUUAGUAGUAAUGAGAAUAACAACAAUGGUUUAUAGGAGCCGGAGUUAAAAGAGUAAACAAAAUCGAUACAACUUAGAGUUGUUUUUUUUUUUUAAAUGGUUUAUGCCUGAAUUAAAAGAAAGAUAUAUUCAAAGAGUCGGCAAUAGGUCUGUCCACCAUUCGAGGUCUCGUCACGUCCUAGGCAAGAUUUUCUGUGCUUGGACCAGUUCGAUACGACUUUUGCGAUUGGACGACCAAGCCUUUUUGUAAGUAAGCAUUAAGAAGGGUCAAUUAGACCUAGCCCGACCCAACUAUCUAUGAACGCUUCUAGUGCAUAAUUAAAUUAUUCGAAGAAUUAUUGUUAUGAAUAAUUUUAAUAUUAUAACAAAAUAUUUAAUAUAAUAUUUAAAUAUUAAAAUUUUUUAAUAUAAUAUUAAAAUUAUAAAUUUAUUGAUUAAUAUUAUAUUUAAAUAAUUUUUUAUUCAUCACGUAUAGAUUAUUUAAAAUUAAUUAUAUUAAAAAUAAAUAUCAUAUUAAUUAAUAUAUUUAUAAUUUAAAUAUUAUAUUAAACCUUUCAUGAGAUUAUUUAUGAUGCCAGCCUAACUAAAAGAGUAAGAAACUUUAUUCUUUUUUCUCUUACCUCAACUGCGAGCUGAAGCAGUGCUUCUUUCCCGUUUUUUAAAUCUCUGUAGAAGGUGGAUUCCAUCUUGUGUGUUUAUCCACCCUUCUUUCCUGUUUUUCCUGGCCGUUUUUAAAUUCCUUUAUGUAAUUUGUAG
rnacentral:lncRNA from 1 species